rnacentral:lncRNA from 1 species
UUCUUGUUUCCCUGCCUAUAUAAGUAAGGCGCGAACCCACGCAACUGGGAGGCAGUGAAGUUUCGAACAAGCAAGUCUAGUUUCCUUGCCUGUGUGGCUCCCCUCGGUCGCAAGCCCCCGUCGCCCCGGUGGGGUUGGUCGGAGGACCCCGCUGCUCGUGGUUAAGAGCCCCGCCAUCUGUCCGUCGCGGCUUCUGCGCCGCCGCUGCCGCCAUCAACCGGUGCCGCAGUCCCUGUCUGUUGCCACCGGUCCGCCACUGUCGCCGCCUCCGCCGGCGCCCCUCCGCCGGCUGCAGUCCUCGCCAGCGCCCCUCCGCCGUCGGCAACCGCUGCCGGCGCCCCUCCGCCUCCUGCCGCCGCUGCAGCCGUAACUGCCCCGUCGGGCUGGUAUUUCCCAAAUUAGGGCUUAAACGCCCUGGUUCGCGGGGUACUGGGCGCCAGAACCAGCCGGUUCGGAUCCACCCUCGCCGGACCGGCCUCGUCUGGGCCAGCCCAGGCCGGCUCCAGCCCCUUUGCCUGAACCGGUUCGAGCCGUCGACUGACCUGGUCCGCACCGUCUGUCCGAGCCAAGGCUCGGCCAGCCGCCCACGACCUGGUCAGCGGGAAACCUUAGUCAACGGUCACCAAUCACUUCUGUGCCCCAUGGCCUCUCUGGUGACUCUUUCCACAGCCAAUACAUUACACUCAUGUUACCUGUUCUUUUAAUAUGUUCUUGUGAUCGUCGCCAAGUAAUCUUAUAGGUUAGUCGCUUUUGAUAUUGAGUGAUCCCUUACCCUUGAUUUCGUCACAUCUGUUUUACUAGAUUUUGAGCAUCCUAUGGUUGGCCGUUUGCAUAAAUCGCUUGGUCCUCACCUGCUGUCUUAAUUGAGGAUGAUUUUUGAGCUGCUUAUGACUUCCGAAAUUUCCCCGUCUCGAGUUCUUUUGGACAUUACGUGUGAUUUCUGAUUUCGUUCAUUUGAUCAUCAUUAUGCCUCAUUUUUCAUUCCCAUCACCCGGUUUGAUAACAGGCUGGGAUUAAGUACGUUAACUUGGUACGAAUUCUAGUUGAUCAAACUUUCAGUUUGAUGACAACCUUAUUCCUCUGGUAGGUUGACCUAAGCUUUUAGGUAAGCAGCUGAACUGAAAAUAGUAAUUGGAUGGGUUUCAACCAUUCGUGCCUUUGGGUUGAAUAAGUUAAGAGAUUAUAUUCGAGUUCAUCCCAACCAGGCCUGGGACGUUUCUUCUUAACCGGCCAUCCGAACCAAUUAAACUCGGACAGCAGGGUCAUCUGGGAUAAAUUCAGAUUGCCUAGCAUGAUCGGGAUUCUAGCCAAUUGUCAUACUGCUACAUAUACCCAUGACCGUGCACCAAUUAUCAUACUUGGCUGUGGACACAAACAGUUCUCUGGAAGAUUGAAAUUUGAAGCCCUGCUUCCUUUCUAGCUGUUUGAGGACGGUGUGCUCGAUGUAGAGGACAGGACUGGAUGGAGGGAUAGAAGCACCCACUGCAGUGAUAUUGGGACAUUCGGAGGCAAGGGCUGAGGUCGACGCUUGUGCAGGAAACCAGUUGUUGUCGAAUGUGAGCUGCACAUCUGAGAAUUGGGAAAUCUCGACCACACUCAUCGUCCAGUGGAAUCCAGCCCAGAGGUGGAGGUGCUGACGUACUCAGCAAAAUACAAGGCAAAUGAGACAAAGCUACCUAACCUCAGCCAUUCCCAAUCUGCAGGGGAUGAUGUUGUCGACUAACUGAAUUAUCACCACUCUAGAGCACUGCUGCAGUCGGUUGAUGACGAGGUGUGAUGGCAUGCUGCGCUUCACGUUGGUGGUGCUGCUUUUGGCAGUUCUGCGGCAUUUUUUUGUAGCGGAGUUCUUCUGGCCCGGGUUGGGCAUCCACAGGUGGAUGCUGCAACCCACAGGGCAACAGCAGAGUUGCCCAAGAUGAGCUUGACAGUCCAUGGAUUCUGGAUUUCUGCUAGGAACGCAAAGAUUGGGUAGAGCGUGUCCUGGUUGUCCUUCAUUGGCUAGUUGUUGGUGAUGGCCUUCCAACCCCCAAUUCGGAGAAUCGAUUGGGCAAGGUGGCUGACAAAGGUCAGAUCCUUGGCGAUGAAUCCUCUCCACUCGGUGGCUAUCAUACACCAUAAGAUUGUACGAGCAUGAUCGCGUUUCAUUUUUUCCCUUCCAAAUAGAUAAUAGCUUAUAUCGUUGAUUUCCAAACUAUUUUUGGUCUCAUCAGCAGCAGCUAAGGGCGUCACUUUAAGGGUUAACAUAGAGAAGAAUGUGCUUAGGUUUUGUCUACCAUCUACCCACGGCAACGAAUGCCAUGCCGGUUAGUGAAGGGAGGGGUGAGUAGAGAAGACUGUUUAUCAUGCCCUUCAAUGGCCCAAUAAUGGGCAGGUCAAACUAGAAAAGAGAAUGGUUCAGUUAAACCGUUUUAGCUUGACGUAGUAAACGGUUUGCACGUUUUUGAGGAGUCACUGACACAUUUCAUGAGGCAGUUCAAUGAGAUCUAUAAAUAGAGGCCACCUCUUCUCAUUUUAUAGCACUAGUGACCAGAGGGUACUAGAGAGGUCAGGAGAGGGUUACCAAUGAAGUGAUCUUUACUUGUUGGUGAGGGACUAACAGAUUUUUUGAGGGCCAAGAUUAGUGAUAUGUAUUCUAGGUUUAAAAGAGUGAUUUUCUAUACUUCUAUAUCUAGUGAAGAUUUUUUUCACCAUUCAUGAACGUAGAAGAUUGACCUCUAAACUAUGUAAAUUAUUGUGUCUCUAGUUGUGAGUUGUUUAUUUCAUUUAUGUCUUUUAGCUUUUGUGCUAAGUUUAUAUUGGGUUUUUAUCUCUAACAAGUGAUAUUAGAGUUGUGAUUCUUGUUAAUGACUAUGGAGACAUGAGAUAUUUCUCGUAUGAUCAACUUGAAUGAGAAUAACUAGACAAUAUAAAAACUAAGAAUAAAAGGUCUAUUGCAUUGCAAUGACUUAUAUGAAGCCUUACAAGGAGAUAGUGCAAAGGUAGGGGCGACAUCAGUUGAUGAUUAGAAAAGGCUAGAUUUAAAGACUAUUGACUUCAUCAGACAAUGGCUUAAUAAUAAUAUUUUUCACCAUGUAUCUACUGACAACUUUACACAUUUUCUUUGGAAGAAGCUAUAAAGUUUUUAUGAGAGAAAGAUGGUAGGUAACAAGGCAUUAUUGAUUAAGAAGCCUAUGAAUCUGAAGUACAAGAAGAGAUCUUUUAUUAUUGAGCAUUUAAAUGAAAUACAUAGUAUUAUUAACUAGUUGACCUCUAUGAAUAUAUGUUUUAAUGAUGAGUUGUUGACUUUGUUAUUUCUUAGUUUGUUGCCAUAUAGUUGUGAGAUGUUGGUGGUGUAUCUCAUCAAUUUUACCAGAUGAUAUUUUCACUAUGAGCCAAGUAACAAAUAUCUUACUCAAUAAAGAGUUGAGACCAGAAAAACUUUACUAAUUCUUAUAGUGAGGCACAAACAUUUGUCACAUAAAAUAGAGGGUGGUCAAAGUCAAGAGAUAAGAGUCACUCCAAAGGUAGAAACAAGUCAAGAUCAAGGAAAGAGAUCACUUGCUACAACUGUGGUGAAAAAAGACACUUCAAGAAUAAGUGCAAGUAGCCCAAGAAAAAUAAAAAAAAAAGUAGACAAUGAAGAUUCAAAAGGGAACACCAUGGCCACUAUUUAAACUGGUGAUUAUUUGAUUUUGUCUAUUGCUAAUGAUAUUUUUCUUGUGUUGGUAAAGAUUCAUAAUGAAUCAUUGAUAUAGGAGUCUCGUAUCAUGUAGUACCAAGAAAGGAGUCCUUUGCCAACUACAAAGCUAGAAAUUUGGGUGUUGUUAAGAUGAGCAACAAAAAGACAUCAAACAUCAAUGGUAUCAGUGAUGUCCACAUCAAGACCAAUUUUGGCUAUGAAUUGGUGCUAAAAAAUGUGAGACAUGUGACAAGUUUAAGAUUGAAUUUAAUUUUAGUUAGAAUGCUUGAUGAUGAUGACUUUUAUGACAAGUUUAGUGCAUGCAAUUGAAAGAUUACUAAGGGUUCACUUAUUAUAGCUUUUGGAAAGAAUUAUAAUACCUUAUACAGAAUGCAAGUUGCUGGUUGUAGCGAUCAGAUAAAUGUUACAAAAAAAGAUUAUAGUAUUAAAUUGUGACAUAAAUGACUAUGACAUAUGAUGAGAAGGGAUUACAAGCCCUCUCAAGAAAGGAAGUCUUACCCAAGUUCAAAAAUAUUUGUUUGAACCCAUACAUUGAUUGUUUGGCAGACAAAUGACAUUGAGUUUCUUUUUCUAGUCUACUUUUGUUUAAAAAAUUACAUAUUUUUGGAGUGAGUCUAUAUAGAUGUGUGGUCUAUUGAGGACAAAGACUGCUGGUGGUGUUAUUAAUGUUUAUGGCAUUAAUAAUGUAUUAUAUUUUAUCACUUUCAUUAAUGAUAAUUCCAAGAAAGUUUGGGUGUAUCUUUUGAAGACUAAAGACCAAGUUGUUGAUGUCUUUAAAGAAUUUCAUGUUAAAGUGGAGAGGGAGACUGAUAGAAAGUUGAAAUACAUAAGAUUUGAUAAUGGUAAUGAAUACAUGUGCUUGUUUGAUGAAUAUUAUAAAAAAUAAGAUAUUAUUCAUGAGAUGAUAGUUUCAAACACUCCUUAGCACAAUGUAGUUGCAGAGAUGAUGAAUUGCAUAAUUAUGGAAAAUAUCAGGAGUAUGCUUUCACAUGUCAAAUUACUUAAAAGGUUUUGGGAUGAGGCAUUGAAGACAACUAUUGAUCUCAUUAAUUUAUAUCUAUGUAUGUCUUUAGAUGAAAAUAUUGCACAUAAUGUAUGUACAAAAAAAAAUAUUUCCUACAAGUACUUGAGAGUGUUUGUUUGUCGUACAUUCGCGCAUGUUCUUGAUAUGGAAAGGUUUAAAUUGAAUGGGAAGAUAAAAGAGUGUAUUUUUCUUGGAUACCUAUGUGACGAGUUUGGUUACAGAUUAUGAGAUCAAAUGAAGCAAAAGGUGUUCCAAAGUCGAUAUGUAAGCUUCUUUGAAGAUUAUAAUAUUGAAUAUAUAAAGAAGGUUGUAGUGGUAAAAAAUUUUGCAAAAGUAUUUGAAGAUUAUGACCAAGUCGUCCAUCAUGAGUACCAUGAUGGAUGGGGAGAAGUGUAAGAAGAAAGGGUUGAAGAUGAUGUAAAUUUAUCUACAAGAUAAAAAGAGGACUAAGGAAGAGAGCUACCUCUAGCAUAGCCUCAUCUUAUAAGGUCUAGUAGAUAGUAUCAACCUAUGCGAAUGUAUCCACAAGAAGAGUAUAUUAUAUUUCGUGAAUCCAGUUAAACCACAAAAUUACUACGGCAUUAAAAAGUAAGCAUAUUAAAACAUGAUUGGUAGUUACAUAUGAAGAAAUAAAAGUAUUGUAAAAAAUUAGAUAUAUGAUCUUGUGGAGUUAAGGAGAAGAAAGCAUUAAAGAAUAAGUGGAUUUUCAAGUUGAAGACCCAAGAAUAUACUUUAGUGCUAAAAUAUAAGGCUAGAUUGGUUGUCAAAGGCCUCAAUCAAGUGUAAGGUAUAGACUUUGAUGAAAUAUUAUCUCAUGUUGUGAAAAUAUCUUUUAUUUGUGUUGCUUUAAGUAUGAUUGUUAGUAUGAACUUGAAGGUCAAACAACUAAAUGUAAAGAUAACAUUUUUUCAUAGUGUUUUAGAGAAGGAGAUUUACAUUGAACAACUAGAAGGCUUCAGGAUAUAAGGAAAAGAAUAUAUGGUGUGUAAAUUGAUGAAGAGCUUAUAUAGACUAAAACAAGUGCCAAGACAAUGGUACAAAAAGUUUGAUUUAUUUAUGAUUGGAAAUGGUUACAAACGUACUUCUACAAACUAUUAUGUAUACAUCAAAAAGUUUGAUCAGAGUUUUGUGAUUAUCUUAUUAUAUGUUGAUGAUAUGCUUAUCUUUAAGAAAGAUUUACCAACAAUCAAUAAGUUGAAGGAGUUAAAUAAGUCAUUUGCUAUUAUGUAUAUGGGGCCAACAAAGUAGAUACUUAGUAUGUAGAUCUUUCGUGACAGAAAGACCAAAAAUAUUUAGUUGUCAUAAGAAAAAUAUGUAGAAAAGAUACUAAAUAGGUUUGGUAUGAGUUAUAUAAAACUUAUUGAUUCUACUUUGACAAAUCACUUUAAACUUUAUGUACAACAAAGUCCGUUAAGUGAUGAGGCGAAUGAGAAGAUGAAGAAAGUAUUUUAUGCAUUAGUCGUUGAGAGUUUGAUACAUGCAAUAGUAUGUAGAAGACCAUACAUCAUAUAUGUAGUGGGUGUUGUUAGUAGAUUUCUUACAAAUCUAAGAAAGGAGCAUUGGGCAGCAGUCUAGGUUGUCUAAGUUAUCUUAAAAAGAAUAUUUAGAUACCUUAAAAGGAACUCUAAAAUUUGUCUAAGCUUUAGAGAUUGUGCUCCUAUAUUAGCAAGUUAUAUAAAUAUUGACAUAACCAGAGAUGUUGACACACAAAAGUUUACUUCAUGCUAUGUGAUUACUUUUGCAAAGAGAGUUGUGUCAUGCCAGUUCAAGUUGUAAAAAUAUGUUGUUUUGUCAACUAUAGAAGUUGAAUAUAAUAUUGUCACAGAAGUUUGUAAAGAAAUGUUAUGGAUGAAAGAAUUAUCAUAAGAAUUAAAACUAAUGUAAGAAGAAUAUGUAAUCUUUUGUGAUAGUCAAAAUACUAUUCAUUUAAGUAAAAAUCUUACAUUUUGUUCGAAGACAGCAUAUCGAUGUGUGUUACCAUUGGAUUAGAAAUGCAAUCAAAAAGAAAUAUUUAUAGAUCAAGAAAAUUCACACAAAAGACAAUGGAGCAAAUAUGUUGAUGAAAAUUAUGUCAAAAGAGAGGCAAGAGAUUUGUUGAAAACUAAUCGACAUGCACGCUCCUUGAGAAGUACGAUGACGAUCUCUCUCAUGAGUCGAGGGAGGAGGUUGUUGGGCACGUGGCUCAUAAAGUGGCCAUGUCCAUGUCAACUCAUAGGGUAGCAGAGAAGAUCACAUUUAAUGCAGAGAAGGAGGAGAGGGAGAGAAGAUGAGACAUUUGAAAUGGGCCAAGAUGUAGAUUGUUUUUCUAGCCCCUCAACAGUUUGAUAAUGGGCAAGUCAAACUAGAAAGGAGAACAGUUCAAUUGAAUCAUUUUAGUUUCACAGAGUAAAUGAUUUGUACAUUUCUUGAGAAGUCAUUGACACAUUUCUCGAUGCAACUUAACAAGGUCUAUAAAUAGAGGCCACCUCUUCUCAUUUUAUAGCACUAGUGACCAAAGGGUACUAGAGAGGGUUUUUAAUAGAGUGAUCUUUACUUGUUGGUGAGGGAUUAACAAAUCCUUCAAGGGCCAAAAUUAGAAACCUAUAUUCUAAGUUUUAAGAAGUGAUUUUUUAUACUUCUAUUAUAUUUAGUGAAGAUUUUCAUUGCCAUCUGUAGACAUAGAAGGCCAACCUCUAAAUUACGUAAAUUCUUAUGUCUCAAGUUGUGAAUUAUUCAUUUCAUUUGUCUUUUAAUUUUCACGCCAAGUCCAUAUUAGGUUUUUAUCUCUAACAUAAGGAUCUUAGCAUUUUUCAUGCACAACUUUGCCUUGAUGUAGAUCACUUUUUACUUCUACCACUGCUGCUCACGAGGGACACAAGAGCCAGAGCUUCCCUCAAUACUCUUGUGGGUCCCACUAUCAUCCAUCACCACCAUGGCAUCAACAAGGAUGCCCUUGCCGACAGUCAGACAUCAGCUUUCUGUCCAAAGUUAGCACCCAUGAUGGGAAGUUGUCACAGGAUAGCAGCUUCCGCCCGCCCCCGCUCUCAAAACUAUGUCCAGUCAGCCCUCCUCGGGAGCUCGACGGGCUUGACAAGGGCAAGUGAGUUGCUGACAAGAUGAGUCAGUAUCUCGCAUCAC